rnacentral:tRNA from 1 species
GCGGCUGUAGCUCAGCUGGAUAGAGUAACUGGCUUCGAACCAGUUGGUCGCAGGUUCGAAUCCUGCCAGCCGUG